rnacentral:tRNA from 1 species
GUUGCGAUAGCCGAGUGGUAAAGGCGUUGGACUCGAAAUCCAAUGGGAUAUUCCCGCGCAGGUUGAAAAUCCUGUUCGCAGCG